rnacentral:sRNA from 1 species
GCCAGGCAUGGUCAUGUGUGCCUGUAAUUCCAGUGACUUGGGAGGCUGAAGCAGGAGGAUCACAAGUUUGAGUCCAGCCCCAGCCAACUUAGUAAGGCCCUAAGUAACUUUGUGAGAUCCUGUCUCAA